CAAGACACGAUGUGGUGUUUUUAUACAUUUUAAGUAUUCUCUCAUCAAGGCUCAAUGUGUCCUUUCAUUGUAGAAUCGAGCUCAUUUUGGUGUAAACCAGUCCUCUGAAAGAGGAAUGGAAACGUCUUCAUUUGCAGGGCAUGUUGUGCUUGCUCACAGCGUCCAUGGACAUGAAUUUAAUAAGCAGAAGUUCCCGUACUCUCACCAGGAGGCCAGAAAAUACAAUAAGCUGACCCAUUAUCACUGAAUAAUGGCUGACUGAAGUGAAGACGCUUGCAAUACAAGAAGGGAGACGAUUGACAGCAGCCACCACCACAGCUAGCAAGCKACCAGUGUCGUCUUUCAUUUCAGMAGAAGGGAGACGAUUGACAGCAGCCACCACCACUGAUWGGACGGUUUGGGACCUUUUUAAAAAUAGGAAUGUUGGA